UACAGAGGGUGCAAGCGUUGUUCGGAUUCACUGGGCGUAAAGGGUGCGUAGGUGGUCAGGUAAGUCUGAUGUGAAAUCUCUGGGCUCAACCCAGAAACUGCAUUGGAUACUAUCUGGCUAGAGGAGUGGAGGGGGGACUGGAAUACUUGGUGUAGCAGUGAAAUGCGUAGAUAUCAAGUGGAACACCAGUGGCGAAGGCGAGUCCCUGGACACUUCCUGACACUGAGGCACGAAAGCUAGGGGAGCAAACAGG
rnacentral:rRNA from 1 species